UACGUAGGGGGCAAGCGUUGUCCGGAAUCAUUGGGCGUAAAGAGCGUGUAGGCGGCUCGGUAAGUCCGCUCUGAAAGCCCGGGGCUCAACCCCGGGAGGCGGGCGGAUACUGUCGGGCUAGAGUCCGGAAGAGGCGAGUGGAAUUCCUGGUGUAGCGGUGAAAUGCGCAGAUAUCAGGAGGAACACCAAUGGCGAAGGCAGCUCGCUGGGCCGACACUGACACUGAGAGACGAAAGCUAGGGGAGCGAAUGGG
rnacentral:rRNA from 1 species